rnacentral:rRNA from 1 species
UGGGGAAUCUUCCGCAAUGGACGAAAGUCUGACGGAGCAACGCCGCGUGAGUGAAGAAGGUUUUCGGAUCGUAAAACUCUGUCUUUUGGGGCGAACGUGAGUAUGGUGAACAAUCAUAGUCAGUGACGGUACCAAAGGAGGAAGCCACGGCUAACUACGUGCCAGCAGCCGCGGUAAUACGUAGGUGGCAAGCGUUGUCCGGAAUUAUUGGGCGUAAAGAGCGCGUAGGCGGGAUAGUCAGUCUGUUGUAAAGUGCGGGGCUCAACCCCGUGAUCGCAAUGGAAACAGCUAUUCUUGAGUGCAGGAGAGGAAAGUGGAAUUCCCAGUGUAGCGGUGAAAUGCGUAGAUAUUGGGAGGAACACCAGUGGCGAAGGCGACUUUCUGGACUGUGUCUGACGCUGAGGCGCGAAAGCCAGGGGAGCGAACGGGGAUUAGAUACCCCCGGUAGUCCUGGCCGUAAACGAUGGGUACUAGGUGUGGGAGGUAUCGACCCCUUCCGUGCCGGAGUUAACGCAAUAAGUACCCCGCCUGGGGAGUACGGUCGC